AUUGAACGCUGGCGGCAUGCUUUACACAUGCAAGUCGAACGGUAACAGGCCGCAAGGUGCUGACGAGUGGCGAACGGGUGAGUAAUGCAUCGGAACGUGCCCAGUCGUGGGGGAUAACGCAGCGAAAGCUGCGCUAAUACCGCAUACGAUCUAUGGAUGAAAGCGGGGGACCGUAAGGCCUCGCGCGAUUGGAGCGGCCGAUGUCAGAUUAGGUAGUUGGUGGGGUAAAGGCUCACCAAGCCGACGAUCUGUAGCUGGUCUGAGAGGACGACCAGCCACACUGGGACUGAGACACGGCCCAGACUCCUACGGGAGGCAGCAGUGGGGAAUUUUGGACAAUGGGCGCAAGCCUGAUCCAGCAAUGCCGCGUGCAGGAAGAAGGCCUUCGGGUUGUAAACUGCUUUUGUACGGAACGAAACGGUCUGGGUUAAUACCCUGGGCUAAUGACGGUACCGUAAGAAUGAGCACCGGCUAACUACGUGCCAGCCGCCGCAGUAACAC
rnacentral:rRNA from 1 species